GCAGCUGAAAAAAAAACAAAGAAGCCCAAGGAGGUCGCUGGGAGUCUGGUAGAGGGACUACCUGUGACUUUGCAGAGUAGCCUCAACCUCUCACACCAUCAGUGUCCCACCACCCAGGAAGACUGCCUGUCCCAGUGGAAUGUUUGCAAGGAUUUGAAAUUUACAAAUUAUGUUUUUUUUUUCACUACUCUGCAAGGAGAAAGGAAGACAUGGAGUACUCAGCAUGCAAAAAAGGCUGAACAAGGGCUUCAUUCCUAGGUCUGCUGCCAACUGUCACUUUUUUUCUCCCUGUUUCUCCAUCUGUCAUCUGACAAUGGGAAGUUAGAUUUCUUGCCAGCUCUGACAUACUUGGCAUAUACCAUCAUUACCUGGAGAUGCACUCCAAACUCCAGCCCCUAUUAACCAGGCUACACUACUGUGAAAAAGGAUGCAGGACAUCUAUAUGUAACACACCAGCACCAAAGUGUGAGCUGGGUGCACGUCAAGAGGGAACUGUGGUACAACAUCUAUAGCCUGCCCCAGGACAGAUGUGAGGUCUCAGAAGCACACCCACAUGUACCCCUAUAAGGAUGGCCUAUGGGUGGCCCCACCCAAGUACCUGCUGGAGGCGGCCCCUGAUGUUGGAGGCACAGAGUUGAAGCAUGUGCAAAUAGGAGACCUCAGUGUCCAGGAGCUCCCUGACAGCCAGUCUCUGAUGGAGCAACUGUCUGUCCUCAGAGCUGCGACCUUCCUCGUCCGGACUCCCUGGCCUGGAGGUGGUCUCAUGAUCACUCAUGUCCUCAGGUUCUGGGAAAAACAAAACCAUCCUGAUUCAUUUCCAGGGAGCACUACUGGGAAAUGCUGUCCCUAAUUUGAAGACAACUAUUCAUCAAGAGAUCUAAAAACAUCUCGUACAACAGAAUCAAGAUGAAGUGUUGAUUAGCCUUUAGGGGCAGUAUCUGGACUAUAUAAAAAGGCAGACAACAGCUCAGAUCAACUGCUGACAUUUUAAAUUCAUUUCCCAGGACUCAGACAAUGUGCUUUCCUGGCUCUUCUAUUUUCGCCCCAGCUCUUGACCCAGAUUUCUUCAUCUGGUUCAGCUCAGUGCUUCUCCUCCUCUCUCUCUCCUGAUGGUUCCCCCCCCCCACCCUGUUAUGCCAUCAGGACAUACAACCUAUCACCUGGACUACUUCCCCAGACUCUAGGAUCAUCCUUCCAAAUCCACACCUCUCUCCUGCUGCCAACCAUAUGCACUCAUUCUGAACAUGUUUCCAGUUUAAACUCCCUGAAACAAAGCUGUGAUCACAGUG